UACAGAGGGGCAAGCGUUAUUCGGAAUUAUUGGGCGUAAAGGGCGCGUGAGGCGGCCUGGCAAGUGGAAGGUGAAAGUCCCUCCGGCUUAACCGAGGAACUGCCCUCCAAACUGCUUGGCUUGAGUCCGGGAGAGGUGAGUGGAAUUCCCGAAGUGUAGCGGUGAAAUGCGUAGAUAUUGGGAGGAACACCAGUGGGCGAAGGCGGCUCGCUGGACCGGAACUG
rnacentral:rRNA from 1 species